rnacentral:lncRNA from 1 species
AUGAGGGGCUCAAAGCUGCAGGCUCUCGGGUGUGCUGAGCCUGGAAGAGGAAACCGGAAGCCUCACGGAGGGGGCUGCUGUGGGGCGACAUGCAGACUCGGAUGCUGCUAUGAAUCGCCUUUGUCCCAUGAUCCUGUGCUCACCAGUCCUACAAUUACCCUUUUCUUCCUAGACUUUAAAGUUGGGAUCAGACACAAGGAUACUUUGAUUUCUUUACCCUACACCAGCCACAGUAUCUGAUUUAAUAUAGGAGCUUAAUAUAACUUUAAUGAGGAGAUAAAUGGAUGAAGAAAGACAGGAGUGAAGAAAUGGAGUCACUGCAAAAAUAAAACAACAAAAGGAGCUUACCA